AGAUAAUCGAACGCACCAUAACUUCAUGUGCAGAAGCGAGCGGCAUGUGUGAAGCGUGGCUUCAAUUUAAUUGGUUGCCAUCCUUUCAAAGCCAUUAUUCAGGCAACGCCAUCUCAGUGGCAUGUUAAUGAAACAGCGUGACAGUAACCUACGACUCUGUCUCCAUUGACUACGGUUUAACUCGGUGUUUAGUCAGAGUUACGACACACUGCACGAGAACACUACAGCUACACCAGCACCAAACCAGCAUAGACCAGCAUGGAAAUCAGCUGGGGUCUCAAUAUACUUGCAAUCCAUUUCACAUCAUUGGUCCCCUUGAGAAGACAUUUAAUUGUCAAGCGGCAUUAAGGUAUAAUGCUAAAGUCUACAAAUGGCCCAAAUAAUGAGAAAAAAACCUUGAUGAGCAGGAGUCACCUGCCUUUGUCUACAGACACUAUGACACUAUGUCGUUGGUAAACGCCCCCACCCAUCUGCCCCAUUCCAGUAUAACCUUAAAUACGCUCUUAACAAAAAAAAUAUUUCCCAGAAAUAGGAAAAAAAAAACAUCCCAUUAUAAGAGAAACGGUUCUUCUCUGGAAAGGGGGUCAGCGCUGUCCCGGAUUAGUGUUAAACUCCGUAAAUCCUGCGUAUAGUGCGGGCGAGAACAGCAUCUCCGAGGUCGUCGGAGUCUCGGCGGCGCGACUCCAUUCGGAGAACGAGCGCCCACGAAGGACCGGGACACGUCGUCUUUGUAUCUUAAUAGCAACAGUCUGGUUUACAAUUGGGUGGUUUAGUCAGCAGUGGCAUCAAUGUACUCAGCUUGUAUAGGUUCCUUUGGAUUACCUAUUCAGUUACUUAUAAUUGUGUGGCGUUACCAAUGUAUUAAUGGCAAGUAUAAUUUCUUCUGUCUAUUACAGUAGACUUGUAACAAAACAAGAAUCUAUUAGCACCAUCAUUUAAACUUCAUUUUGUGUGACUGCUUAAGACUGCACAGUACUGUAUGUGUGUGUGUGUGUGUGUACACUGUAUAUAUUAUAUUAUUUUAUAUUACUCUUUUGAUUUGCACUAUGACCAAGGAGAAUGAUAUUUCAGCU